AUUGAACGCUGGCGGCAGGCCUAACACAUGCAAGUCGAACGGUAACAGGAAGCAGCUUGCUGCUUCGCUGACGAGUGGCGGACGGGUGAGUAAUGUCUGGGAAGCUGCCUGAUGGAGGGGGAUAACUACUGGAAACGGUAGCUAAUACCGCAUAAUGUCGCAAGACCAAAGAGGGGGACCUUCGGGCCUCUUGCCAUCGGAUGUGCCCAGAUGGGAUUAGCUUGUUGGUGGGGUAACGGCUCACCAAGGCGACGAUCCCUAGCUGGUCUGAGAGGAUGACCAGCCACACUGGAACUGAGACACGGUCCAGACUCCUACGGGAGGCAGCAGUGGGGAAUAUUGUACAAUGGGCGCAAGCCUGAUGCAGCCAUGCCGCGUGUAUGAAGAAGGCCUUCGGGUUGUAAAGUACUUUCAGCGGGGAGGAAGGGAGUAAAGUUAAUACCUUUGCUCAUUGACGUUACCCGCAGAAGAAGCACCGGCUAACUCCGUG
rnacentral:rRNA from 1 species